ACUUAUGUUAACUAACCCAAAGUUACUUAUUUGUUUGAAAUAAGAAAAGGCUACAUAACUGUACUAGGGGUAUCUGGAAAGUAGGUUUAGUUGGGAACAUUAAUAGUCAACGCGCGGCGAAGCUCUUUUUUCGCGCGCAUUGAUUUAUAUUUAACUUUUCUUCUAUUGCUUUUUCAAAUUUUAUGUGCGAAUUGUGUUCCUGCAUACCUAUUCUUGCUUGUUUCCUUUGCCUUGAAUUAUGUAUUGCUGUAUUAGUUGGUAUCAUUUGCUUCAGCUUUAUUCCAACUAAAAAAUGGUCAGAGUCUAGAUUUGGCCUUCUGUAGCUUCUUACAUCUUUAAUAAGUUUUUCAUUUUUAAUGUCAACUAAAACGUGAUCGAUCUGGUUAAUCGUGUUACCGUGCGGCGCUCUCCAGGUGCUAUGGAUCGUUUUGUGUUUGUAGUAAGUACUCUUUAUCUUCAUAUUUUUGCUCAUUGCAAAAUCUAUCAGCAGUUCUCGUUUGUGUAUAAAUGCAUACUGAAUUUCUUUCAAAUUUCAAACCCCUACGACUUUUUUUUGUAAAAAUAAAAAUAAAAAAAUGAAAAAAAUGCUUUUUCAUUAUACCUCUCCGAAAGUACUGUCUUUUCAUGUAUCCCAAGCGCACCGAAAGUAGGGUUUUCCCGUGCGAGCGCACUGGAAAACUUUUUCCCGUGCGCUACGAAUAAUCAAGUUCGCCAUAGCUAUCCCUAUCCCAUGCGUUGCCAUGCAUACCGCGGAUUGACUUUGACAUGUCAACCGAUUUUUUACCAUUGUGUUAAAAAUGGAUUUUGGUGAAGGCGAAAUUCCCGCUAAUAUAUUAAGGGAAGCUGCAGAAACCAGUUCCCAACUAUUACCAGCGAAAUCAAAAGAGAGAUGCGAAAAGGAAUAUGAAAAAUUUCAUAACUGGUGCAUUGAAGAAAUCGUGAAAAGAGUACGUUAUGGAGUAGGUUUUCAAUGAUUAAGAACAUUCUUACGGUAAAAGAAAAUGAAAACGCUAGCAAAUUGUGCAAAACCGACUUUUUGAAGCGUCAGACCGUCCGCUACAUCCCAAAAAAAUCAAAAGUUCUGUAUAACAAGGGAGCAAUUUUUGAAUGAAGCUGCAGAGAUAAAAUGGUGAUUACUUACUAAGGUUAUUUUAGUAUUCGGAAAUUUGGAGCAAGAUGCAGGGGAGACGAUACAAUUCGCUCGACUAUUGAUGAUGCGUUGAAGAUAAUGGGGGUUUAAGGGUCAUAAGACAAGCAACAGAAUUUGUUGUCAAAUUGGAUUUGGACUUCAAUGUAAAUAAUUAUUCUCCGUUAUUUUCGGAGAGGUAUAAUGAAAAAUAUCGUUCAUUACACGUCCAGAAAGGCUUUUCCCGUGUUUGCAUGACUUCCCGUGUUCGGCUUCGCCUCACACGGGAAACGUCAUGCGCCCACGGGAAAAUCUUCCUUUCUGGACUGGUAAUGAAAUAUACUAUUCCGGUUUUUCUAGGAAAAUUCGAGGUUAUGCGAAAAUAGUGCAGAUACAAAAGUUGUUCAUUUUUUUAUUCUCUACUAGCUGACCCGACCGACGCUUUCCUCUUUCUUAGCUAUGAAUACCUACUCAAUUCAGACUGGAAUAAAUAAUUACAACAAAU